rnacentral:rRNA from 1 species
UACGGGUUGUGAGAGCAAGAGCCCGGAGAUGGAACCUGAGACAAGGUUCCAGGCCCCACGGGGCGCAGCAGGCGCGAAACCUCCGCAAUGUGAGAAAUCGCGACGGGGGGAUCCCAAGUGCCAUUCUUAACGGGAUGGCUUUUCAUUAGUGUAAAAAGCUUUUGGAAUAAGAGCUGGGCAAGACCGGUGCCAGCCGCCGCGGUAACACCGGCAGCUCUAGUGGUAGCAACUUUUAUUGGGCCUAAAGCGUCCGUAGCCGGUUUAAUAAGUCUCUGGUGAAAUCCUGUAGCUUAACUGUGGGAAUUGCUGGAGAUACUAUUAGACUUGAGACCGGGAGAGGUUGGAGGUACUCCCAGGGUAGAGGUGAAAUUCUGUAAUCCUGGGAGGACCGCCUGUUGCGAAGGCGUCUAACUGGAACGGUUCUGACGGUGAGGGACGAAAGUUAGGGGCGCGAACCGGAUUAGAUACCCGGGUAGUCCUAACUGUAAACGAUGCGGACUUGGUGUUGGGGUGGCUUUGAGCUGCUCCAGUGCCGAAGGGAAGCUGUUAAGUCCGCCGCCUGGGAAGUACGGUCGCAAGACUGAAACUUAAAGGAAUUGGCGGGGGAGCA